UGGGUCUUCCAAAUAUCCAAAACUACUGUCCGUAUAACACCAAUCAAUCCUCCUCAUUCCUCCAUAUAACCACCACCAUAGAUCUCUUCCUAAUAGCCUUUUUAUACUGAAGAUCUACAGCAUAUCCAUUAACAAUAACAAAGCUUCUACAAGUUUUACGAGAACUUAGUUGCAGAAGUUAUCCACAAGUUCUUGAUCGAAGAUGUAUCAACCGCUGGCAACAUAGAUGUCAACAUUGGCUUCUGUUGUAAGAUAGUUUAGGAAGGAUUAAAUAUUAUUCAUAACAGCUAGAACUUUCAAUUACAUUAAAUCAAUGUUAGAACUUGUAGCCAUAGAUUCUCUUUUUGUAAUAAAUUUUUUGGUAAAUCAUACACCCCAUUAUUAUAAACACAGUUUUCUA